rnacentral:rRNA from 1 species
AUUGAACGCUGGCGGCAGGCCUAACACAUGCAAGUCGAGCGAGCGGCGGACGGGUGAGUAAUGUCUGGGAACCUGCCUGAUGGAGGGGGAUAACUACUGGAAACGGUAGCUAAUACCGCAUACCAUCAGAUGUGCCCAGAUGGUAUUAGCUAGUCGGUGGGGUAACGGCUCACUUAGGCGACGAUCCCUAGCUGGUCUGAGAGGUUGACCAGCCACACUGGAACUGAGACACGGUCCAGACUCCUACGGGAGGCAGCAGUGGGGAAUAUUGCACAAUGGGCGAAAGCCUGAUGCAGCAAUGCCGCGUGUGUGAAGAAGGCCUUCGGGUUGUAAAGCACUUUCAGCGGGGAGGCGUUACCCGCAGAGGAAGCACCGGCUAACUCCGUGCCAGCAGCCGCGGUAAUUC